CACUCUUAUGGUCUCACUAGUUUUGGUAAUAAUGGUCUCACCGGUUUGAAGCUACUGUCGAUGGCAAACUGUAGUAGCCCUCUGUCUAAACCCUACAUAUGGCGUCUCAGGGCUUCCCCAGUCUUCCAAAUCCCAGAACCUUGCCCACUCUAUCUCCUCCCUCUCCCGCUUCCGACCCACAAAAUGUACCGUAAAGCUUAAACCCACCAAAUGUGGCAGAGAGCUUGGUGUACUAAAGAACUCCACAAGGUAAGCAUCAUAACCUAGAUAAGAUAGAGGAUGUAAUCUGUGCAACUCGAUUCGGGAUUUGGUUCCCGAAUUCGAUCACUCUCUUGUGUAGGAUAUGUUGCACGGUACCAAGAACUCGGACACACGCACACCAGUUCUUCAGGUGGAUAGAGUGUGCCAAUUUGUUUAAGCACGAUACAGAGACCCAUUUGAAAAUUAUUGAGAUUUUGGGCCAAGCUUUGAAGCUCAACCAUGCCCGAUUGCAUACUAUUAGACAUGUCCAAGAAGGGCGUGGAAUGGGAUGAGGAGCUUUUUGUUGUACUGAUUGAUAAUUAUGGUAAAGCUGGGAAGGAGUGUUAGAUCUUAUGAUGCAUUGUUUAAGGUAAUUCUUCGAAGGGCAUGAUAAAUGAUUGGUGAAAAGAUACUUUAAUGCAAUGUUGAAUGAGGGAUAGAGCUUACUAGGCACUCGUACAAUGUUAUGCUCUGGGGAUUUCUUUCUCUCAUAUGAGAUUGGAGACUGCGAAAUGGUUUUAUGAUGAUAUGAAGAGCAAGGGGAAUUUCACCUGAUGUUGCUACAUAGAAUACGAUGAUUAAUGGGUAUAAUCAGUUCAAACUGAUGGAUGAGUCAGAAAAAUUGUUUACAGAGAUGGAAGGAUGGAAUUUGGCACCUAUUGUGAGAAGUUAUACUACUAUGUCGAAAGGAAAUGUUUUGGUUGGACGAGUUGGUGAUGCACUCAAAAUUUUUGAGGAGAUGAAGUCUUUUGGUGAAAGGAGAACAUGAACUUGUGUGCUAAGAUUUUGGAAGCCCUUCUCUUGAAAGGUCAUGUUGAGAAUGCAUCGGGACGAACUGAUUUACUAAUGAGUAGUGGAUAUGCUCCUAAUUUUGAUAAUCUUUUAUCCAAUCUUUAUGAGAAAGGGAAGACCAUUGCUGCUGUCAAGAUAUUAGAUUAUUCUUUUGAGAGAGACUGUAUUAUCAACUUUGCAAGCUAUGAUAAGGUGUUGGCUGCUCUUCUAGAAACAGGGAACACUCUUAGUGCUCAUUCAAUAUUGUGCAAAAUAAUGGAGAAAGGAGGGACCAAUGAUUGGAGUUGCUAUGAAGAUCUUAUAAGGAGCCUUAAUCAGGAGGGAAAUGCUAAGCGAGCAAGAUAUUAUUCUAGAGAAUGAAAGAGACAUUAUACCAGUGGGAGCAAAAAAUGGACAGUACAAGCUUUGGGUGCUGCCUGAUUUGCUGUCUCUAUAACUUUUUGCAGCUUCUUCCUGAUUGUGCAUUGUUGAGUUGCUGCAUUGCGCUAUUGUGCUAAUUAUCAAUUUUAUCGUGCAGAGAGCCGAGGAGAAUCUUGGGACUCAGAAGGAAACCAUAAGAAUAAUGUAAGACUAAGUUUAUUUUCUGGUCCAGUAUGGAGAAUGCUAUAUGGUUUCUGCAGUUCUCUGCUCUCAGUGCUGGUUGAAGAAGCAGAAAGAUACCAUGCAACCUGAUCAGCAAGAAGAAGGGGAAAAAGUUAGUUGGACUUCUGGGAUCAUAUUUGGAAAAGGAGAGUAAAUUGGUCUACGGAAAAUGUGGGAUGCUAUUUGUACUUGAUAUUCUUCGAUUGAGAUAAUCUGAAAUUUGUUAGAUUAGUUUGCACUUUUUAUAACUGAUCAUUGUAAUUUCCUUUGAAUUUCAAUUUGGUAGUCAGAGAAGUUUUGAAAUGCUAGUGAGGAUGUGUAUAUACAUAUAAUCUGGUAGAAAGUAAGAUGUCUAUUUUGGAGCUUAAGGAAUACUAGUUUUAAGCAUAGGAAAUGUUCCAAAAGGCAUAGCGACUUUAAACUCUUUGCUUUUGAGUACAGGACUAUUGAACGAUGAGUUUCUUAUUGCAAUAUUGUAUUUUAACAGUAGUCAAUAUUGAGGCACUACAGCCUUAUGCUAUAACUAUCCUAAGUAAAUGGUUAUCACCAUUAAAUUGAACUCUAUUGUUCCAUGUUAAAUUUGUAAAGCUCAAUGGAUGUAAUUCUAUUUGGUGAUUAAAUAUUUAUUUUGUCAUCUCCCUUCUUUGAUGGUUUUUUCUGCAAUUUUUCUUGUGUCAAAUUAUUUUUUCUAUAUGUUUUCUUUCAUAUGUGUGUUUUCUCUUUUCAGGGCAUUAUUGGCAUGAAAACAAAAUAUGGAACUUCAUAUAAAGCUUCUCCCUGAUUGUGUCCCCUACUCUAUGGCCUACAUUCUUGAGUUGCUGACAUUGCACCAUUGUGCUGGUUGUAAAUUUUAUCGUGCAGAGAGUCGGAGGAGAGUCUUGGGGCUCAGAAGGAAACCGCAUAAAAAGUCUAGGACUAGGCUUCUGUAGGUCCUCGUUUUGCAUUGAUUCAAAGAACACUGGAAACUGUGGGAACCAGUUUCAAGAAGAUUCCAACUGAAGAUUGUCCAACCAUCAGAAGAGGUUCAGUAGCAUGGAUUGGUUCAGGCCCAGAAUUGUUUAUAAGCCUUGCAAAUCAUGAAGAGUGGAAAAACUCAUACACUGUUUUCGGUUCUGUAACUUCCACAAGACAUGAAUUUUGCGGAGAAAAUUGCUCAUCUCCCCACCAAACCAGAUGUUCGGAACAAUAUCGUAUCUGUGCUAGAAGAAGCUGUUCCAUUGGUGAUUCAAAGAAUCAAAACCAGUCAUGGAGAUAUUACUACAGGUGUAAAAACAGAUUGACAAAGGUUUAAGUGUAAAUUCUGGGUGCAUAUGCAAUCAAAGUUUGUUUUUCCUUU